rnacentral:rRNA from 1 species
UACGUAGGGGGCGAGCGUUGUCCGGAUUUAUUGGGCGUAAAGAGCGUGUAGGCGGUCCGGUAAGUCCGUUGUGAAAGUCAGGGGCUCAACCCUUGAAUGCCGGCGGAUACUGUCGGGCUAGAGUCCGGAAGAGGCGAGUGGAACUCCUGGUGUAGCGGUGGAAUGCGCAGAUAUCAGGAAGAACACCAACGGCGAAGGCAGCUCGCUAGGACGGUACUGACGCUGAGACGCGAAAGCGUGGGGAGCGAACAGG